GAUGAACGCUGGCGGCGUGCUUAAUACAUGCCAGUCGAACGAACGGGCCAGAAGCUUGCUUCUCUCACGUUUGGCGCAGGCGGGUGAAUAACACGUGGAACCCCCACUUAUAAUACGGGGAUAACCUCGGGAAAGCGGCGCUUAUACCGGAUGAUCUUUUGAACCACGUUGGUCCAAAGAGAAAGACGGUCUUUCUGUCUCUUAUAGAUGGUUCCGCGCUGCAUUAGCUAGUUGGGAAGGUCAAAGGUUUCCAAGGGAACGAUGCAUGGCCGAGCUGACAGGGUGAUCGGCCACCCUGGAACUUAGACACGGUCCAGACUCCUACGGGAGGCAGCAGUAGGGAAUCUUCCGCAAUGGGCGAAAGCCUGACGGAGCAACGCCGCGUGAGUGAUGAAGGUCUUCGGAUCGUAAAACUCUGUUAUUAGGGAAGAACAUAUGUGUAAGUAACUGUGCACAUCUUGACGGUACCUAAUCAGAAAGCCACGGCUAACUACGUG
rnacentral:rRNA from 1 species